rnacentral:rRNA from 1 species
GACGAACGCUGGCGGCGUGCUUAAUACAUGCAAGUCGAACGCAGUGGCGAACGGGUGAGUAAUACGUGGGUAACCUUCCCUCAUCUAUGGGAUAAGCCUUGGUAACGGGGUCUAAUACCGACUACGGGGGGAUGGGCUAGCGGCCGAUCGGCGGGGUGGUGGGUUGAUGGCCUACCAAGGCGGUGACGGGUAGCCGGCCUGAGAGGGAGAACGGGCACUGUGGGACGGGGAAGCGGCCCAGAGUAGGACGCGGGGGAGAAGUGGGGGAUAUUGACCAAAGGGCGAAAGCGUGAUGCAGCGACGCUGCGUAGGGGAUGAAGGUUUUAGGGUUGUAAACUUAGUGAGGUACCGAAAGGGUAGGUGGAGAAGAAGCGACGGCUAACUACGUGCCAGCAGCCGCGGUAAUUC